rnacentral:lncRNA from 1 species
UGGGGUAGACAUCAAUCAAGCCGUUGAACUGCCUCUCUCCUCUUCUACGUGCUUAUCAUCAGCCUUCAACUUCUUGACAUCUUCGUUGUUCUCUCCCUCCUCGUCAGCUUCAUCUCUGACGCGCUUUAAACUGCCGGCACCGCCGCGUCAUCAGCUUGGGCUUCGACUAUUUUCAUGUCUUGAGUGGACGAUUCCUUCACCUCACCGUCGACUAGGGUUUCUGGGGUUUACUUUUGCUCUAUUUCUGCCAUAGUUUCCUCUCUGUUUUCCUUUCUUCUCUUAGU